rnacentral:lncRNA from 1 species
CCGUGAAAGGAGGAAAUAUCGUUCGAACUCCUGGUUUACAAUUUCCGAAUGGCUUUCACGUUCAGAUCAUGGAGAAAGAUCAAACGAAACAGGAGCCAGAGUUUAACAAAACAAAUUAGAAACCAAAACUCUGCGAGAGAUACUGUUAGGUAAACUUUAAAUGAUUUAAUAAUUAAAUGAUCAGCCCACGCUUAUGAAAGAAGAAUAGAAAAGUUUGUAAAUGGGUACCGAAAGUUGCCAACCACUACCCAGCAAUGUUUUGUAUUUUAGUGAUGGUGUAACUAUGCAUGUACCGGAUGAAGACGUUUGGUGGGCUGUAGUUUCUUUAGUUUUGAUUAUAAAUAUGGUUGUGUAGCUUUGUAAGAAGUGUGGCACACUACAAGUGUGUGCACCGUGGGAGAAUGGGCAGUGAGAAAGAAGAAAGGAGAGGGUCUCCAUGUUUGUGUAUUGGGUGCAGCAAGGAGAAAGUAUGUGAGUGUGUGUACCGUGAAAGAGAGAGAAAGAGAAGUGUAUGUGUUUGUUUGUGAGUUGUGCAGCACCGUGAGUGAAAGGGAGAAAAAUGGGUUGUGCCUUGUGAGUUGUAUGUUGUGUGAGUUUGAGAGUUAUAUGUUGUUGUCUUUGUAUUUGUGUAUUCUGGAUAGUUGUCCAGAAAAUUUAUAUAAAGCGUAUAUUUCCCAGAUACUACAGAAGUGAUACCAGAUCAUAUAUAUUUUUAAAAAUUCUACAGAUACUAGUGUAUGGUACAAAUUUAGGCUUGAAAUCUCCUCAGUCCUUGGCAUUUUUAAGGAAAAGCAAGGCAACGCAAUUGUUACGGAAGCCAUAAAAGUAACCAUAAUGACGGUCUCUCACUCAGUUUUGAUUAGGUCUCUUCAAAAUUGUGUUUUUAUUAGAUUUUCUUCUCUAUAUAUUCAAAAAUAUGACCUUCCCUGCCUUACAAAAAGGCAGUGAGGGAAGGGAAGGAAAGUUGUACUUGUAACAAGUGGUGUAAAUGUUUCAGAUUAUAUCCCGAGUUAAUAUACGAUCUGCUUUUGAAAUUCAUAACUUUUACUGCUUUCAAGUUGCGUUCGUAAUGGUUUUCACCAAUGUAAGUAGUCAAUUGAAAAGUUGACGCUGAGGUAUGGUACUUUGUUAGGAAGUGCAUACUUUUAAGGACCAAAUUGUGGAUUAGCUAUUUCUUUUCUAUUAAAUUGUCUUCCACACUAAAUCCUAAUACUAUCUUUAAAUAACUCUCCUUCCCCAAUUGUAGUCCAACCCACCAUAUUAGAUAAUAAUAGAAAGAUAGAAAGACUAGUAGUGGAAAUGGGAGAAGGAAAAAGGA